rnacentral:rRNA from 1 species
GGUGAGUAAAGCCUAGGAAUCUGCCUGGUAGUGGGGGAUAACGUUCGGAAACGGACGCUAAUACCGCAUACGUCCUACGGGAGAAAGCAGGGGACCUUCGGGCCUUGCGCUAUCAGAUGAGCCUAGGUCGGAUUAGCUAGUUGGUGAGGUAAUGGCUCACCAAGGCGACGAUCCGUAACUGGUCUGANAGGAUGAUCAGUCACACUGGAACUGAGACACGGUCCAGACUCCUACGGGAGGCAGCAGUGGGGAAUAUUGGACAAUGGGCGAAAGCCUGAUCCAGCCAUGCCGCGUGUGUGAAGAAGGNCNUCGGAUUGUAAAGCACUUUAAGUUGGGAGGAAGGGCAUUAACCUAAUACGUUAGUGUUUUGACGUUNCCGACAGAAUAAGCACCGGCUAACUCUGUGCCAGCANCCGCGGUAAUACAGAGGGNGCNNGCGUUAAUCGGAAUUACUGGGCGUAAAGCGCGCGUANGUGGUUUGUUAAGUUGGAUGUGAAAUCCCCGGGCUCAACCUGGGAACUGCAUUCAAAACUGACUGACUANAGUAUGGUANAGGGUGAUGGAAUUUCCUGUGUAGCGGUGAAAUGCGUANAUAUAGGAAGGAACACCANUGGCGAANGCGANCACCUGGACUAAUACUGACACUGANGUGCGAAAGCGUGGGGAGNNAACAGGAUUANAUACCCUGGNANUCCACGCC